rnacentral:tRNA from 1 species
GCCAGUGUGGUGUAGUGGUCUGAGUGCUGGAUAAUGACUCUGGAGAUCAGGGUUCAAUUCCCAGCACAGCCA